rnacentral:rRNA from 1 species
UAGAGUUUGAUCCUGGCUCAGGAUGAACGCUGGCGGUCUGCCUAACACAUGCCAGUCGAACGCAGUCUUCGGACUGAGUGGCGGACGGGUGAGUAGCGCGUGAGAAUCUACCUCUAGAAUGGGGACAACAGUGGGAAACCACUGCUAAUACCCGAUGAGCCGCAAGGUAGAAGAUUUAUCGUCUAGAGAUGAGCUCGCGUCCGAUUAGCUAGUUGGUAGGGUAAGAGCUUACCAAGGCGACGAUCGGUAGCUGGUCUGAGAGGAUGAGCAGCCACACUGGGACUGAGACACGGCCCAGACUCCUACGGGAGGCAGCAGUGGGGAAUUUUCCGCAAUGGGCGCAAGCCUGACGGAGCAAGACCGCGUGAGGGAGGAAGGCCCUUGGGUUGUAAACCUCUUUUCUCAGGGAAGAAGGCAGAGACGUACCUGAGAAUCAGCUCGCA